CGCGGGGUAGAGCAGUUGGUAGCUCGUCGGGCUCAUAACCCGGAGGCCGCAGGUUCAAGUCCUGUCCCCGCAA
rfam:Clostridium formicaceticum strain ATCC 27076, complete genome.